rnacentral:misc_RNA from 1 species
AACCAUUCUCACCUGCGGCUAGACCUGCGGAGGGAUCAUUACCGAGUUUACAACUCCCAAACCCCUGUGAACAUACCACUUGUUGCCUCGGCGGAUCAGCCCGCUCCCGGUAAAACGGGACGGCCCGCCAGAGGACCCCUAAACUCUGUUUCUAUAUGUAACUUCUGAGUAAAACCAUAAAUAAAUCAAAACUUUCAGCAAUGGAUCU